AACGCUAGCGGUGCGCCUAACACAUGCAAGUCGAGUGGGUUUAGACCCACGGCGAACGGCUGAGUAACACGUUGGAACCUACCCCGAACUCAGGGAUAUCUCCGGGAAACCGGAGCUAAUACCGGAUGGUCUCGUAAGAGUAAAGCUUUUGCGGUUCGGGAGGGGCCUGCGGCCUAUCAGCUAGUUGGUAAGGUAAUGGCUUACCAAGGCUAUGACGGGUAGCUGAUCUGAGAGGAUGAUCAGCCAGAAUGGGACUGAGACACGGCCCAUACUCC
rnacentral:rRNA from 1 species